CAACAGCGUAUAUUAAAGUUGUUGCAGUUAAAACGCUCGUAGUCGGAUUUCGGGGCGGUCUGUCCGGUCUGCCGAUGGGUAUGCACUGGUUGGGCCGUCCUUCCUUCCGGAGACCGUGCGUGCUCUUAACUGAGUGCGCUCGGGAGACGGAUCGUUUACUUUGAAAAAAUCAGAGUGUUUCAAGCAGGCAGCUCGCUCUUGCAUGGAUUAGCAUGGGAUAAUGAAAUAGGACUUUGGUGCUAUUUUGUUGGUUUCGAACACCGAAGUAAUGAUUAACAGGGACAGUCAGGGGCACUCGUAUUCCGCCGAGAGAGGUGAAAUUCUCAGACCAGCGGAAGACGAACCACUGCGAAAGCAUUUGCCAGGGAUGUUUUCACUGA
rnacentral:rRNA from 1 species